rnacentral:lncRNA from 1 species
UGUUUGUCAAUCAUCUUUAACAAUGAUCUUACACAGGUUUUGUAUGUGCAUGUAUUUAUACAUCAUGAUAGUUUUUAGGUUAACACAAAUGAACAAAGAUGCUUAUUAGAGCUGACAUGGUCUGAAAUGAUUCUUAUUUUAUUUUUAAAACAAAUAGAAGAAAGUUCUUCGGUAGCAUGUUUGUUUGUUAUGUUUUAUCCUUUCAGUAAGAGUACAUUAAUAUUAAUAUCAGAGUAAAGUGAUAAUACAAUGCAUGGUUUGAAAUAUUAUCCAUUUAUGAAAUAUAUCUAAAAUUGUUCAAGAAUUGAGAUUGGACCAGCAUUAAACAAGUGUAUCCAAUUUGUUUUGUCAAAUUUUUUUUUUGGGAAAUCAGAACUGGCGAGGUAAUUUGUAUGUGUGUUUUCCUCAUAAACAUAUUACUGGAUUAUAGUGUAAUGUGUGCAGAUCAAUGAUUCAUUCAGAAAUUUGUCAAGAGAAAUGCCAUAAGCAGUAGUAGUUGAUUCCACUCAUCAAACCCACUUCAACCUUGUGUUUGGUCAAUUACUGUAUUCUGUUGAAUCACAACAUCUACCUCUACUAUGUUCUUUAGGAUUAGCAUAGUUUUUAUUUUUUAAAAAAAAAUUAUAAUAUUUGAACAACUUUUGAGUUCAACAAGAAAGCAUGCAAUGUAUAACUUUUGAAAAGAAAGACAACAAGACAUUAUGUGUCUGUAUUCAAACGUUUUUAGAUAGUUGAUCACACAACCUAAUCUAAAAACUAAAAAUAAAAUGGAUAAAAAUUUGUUAGUAAAAUCUUGAUAUUUGAAUUCAAUGCCGUAUAUCAAAUUAAUACUUCUUACUCCAAGUAAAAAAAGUAUUCAAUUAAAUACAUAGUUGUUCUUUCAAAACUAAUAUUCAUGUUCAUAACAUAUACAUACACACACACACACAUAUAUAUAUAUAUAUAUAAGUGCUGAAAAAUCGCCCACAACCCUACAAACAAAUUCAAGACAUUUUACAGAUUCUUAAUAUUACAAUCAUGCACACUUCAACUAUAUAUAUAGUUCAUAUUUUCUUCAUACAAUAAUAACAUAAUAAUUAGCUUUAAUUACAAAUUUUGAAUACACAUGGAAAUGGAUUUACAUAAAAUGGGUUCAUUGCAUUUUUUUUUUUUUUUUUUUUUUUUGUUUAAAUCCUACAAAUUAGAUUAUUGACUCAUUUGUUCAGUCAUAUACGUAAUUCACCAAAUUUACUAUUCCAGAUAUUUUUGCAAUGUUUUAAUGGUCUUUUUCUUUCAUUUUUUAAACCUUAAUUUCUGAGGGGAAAAAAAUAUACCUCACACAACACUAGUGCCCAUGCUUUUUUCUUUUUCUUUUUAAAAAAUGACACAUAUCUGGUAAAAUCUAAAAGUAUGAAAUUUUGUUAAACUUUUUUACAAUUUUGACUGCUUGUCAAUCUUGAAACAUGCAAUUCCAAGCCAAAGUUGUCAUCCUUCAAGGAUCUGAAACAGUUAUUUUCUCGAAUCGAAACACAUACUUUACUGAGUUCACUUUGAUUGAAAAAAAAUCAAAAUUUAAUAUUUGAUGCUUUUAAUUUUUAUUCAAGAUUAAACGGUUCGGUUUUUUUUUUUUUUUUUUUUUUUUUUUUUUCAUUCAUUUAAAAAAUAUCUCCUAAUUUUUUAAAUGAUAAACUCUACAACCAAAUCGGUUAUGUUGAAAAGAAUAUCAGUUACAAGGUUUUGCUAUGCUACAAUAGCUUCAUGUUGCAAACUUAUGUAUAUGUCUUUAAGCUUAGUAUUUUAUGUAUCUAAAGUAUGUGAAAGAUUUAUUUAUUCUUGUUUAUUUUAAAUUUUCAUACCAUUCUUCUGUUAAUGAAAUUAAAAAUUGACUAUUAAGUAUCGUUCAACCUUUUUCGAUGGAAGCAAAUUCAAAGAAAAUAAAGUAUGAACUCUAAGUACUGAUUCAGCACACAUAUUCUUAAAAAAACCCAUUAUCCAUUUUCUGUUUUGAAAAGAGAACAUCAAAACCAAUUAUUAUCCAAUAAUCUUUGUAUUUACAACACAUGAUAUAGUAGAAAGAUAAACUCUCUAUCCAAAAAAAAAAAAAAAAAAAAAAAAAAAAAUCAGUCUCAGCCAAUAGAUUACAAUUUACCUUUAAUCAAGUCCAUUACAUACCAUAUUGAAUGAUGUAAGAACAUGUGCAUCAAUUUAAUGAUAACUUUGAAAAAAAAAAUACAUCUUACUCAAAAGCAAGCAACAUUCAUUGUAAUAACAUAAUAAAAUACAAAAAAAAAAAAAAAAAAAAAAAACCUCACAAUUAGCCUUGAAUUAAAAAACUGGACAAUGUGUCUUUUACAAAUUGGUUCCACUUUUUCAACCACAUAAUUUAUACAUCUCAUGUACAAAAUUACUCUAUGUAAUAGUCAUUUGCACUUAAAAACAAAGUCAUUUAGACAAUCCUGAGUGCACAUGCAAUGAAUGAGAAAAUCAACCUUAAAAAUGAUACAACACACAAUGCUAAGAUACAUCAUAUUCCCAUCAUGUAUGUGACAAGGACAUAUUAAUUUAUUUUUACUUCAAAGACAUGCUCAUAAAAAACAAAAAUAGAAAAACACAACCUCCCCAUUACAUUUGACAAACAUCGUUGGAUUAGAAAUACAAACCUUGUGGGAAAUGACAACAGAAGCAUCAUGUACUAGCUCUACAGUAAUGUCAUUAUUCUUGCCUUCUUGCCAUAUUGAGCCCCUACUUGAGAGCUCAAUUUAUGAAUGAAGUUUGAAUGAACCCAUCAUUGAUCAAUCACCAAUUCCUUUUUUUUUUUUGCAUAGGUAGUCAAAAAUCACCUCUUGGGAUUCCCAAUCUGAGUCUGAGAAAACCUUUGAAAGAAAUCCCCAAAAAACAUGUUCAACAUUUUAUCUUAACAGAAAAAUGUGCAUGCAGACAGAGCAGUACCUCUGUGAAUUUAUACACAAGUGGGCCAUGGAAAGUGGUCAAGACCAAAGUAAUAAAAUUUAUAGACUCCAGGGGAUAUAGCACAUUGCUUGGCUUACCUCAGUGUGGAUUAUUGAUGGUUGAAUAUCACACUAAGUCAAAAAAAUAUCUCACAAUAAGUGAAAUAUUAAAAUGUUCUACAUUGUAGUAACAACACAACAAAAUUAGAUAUGAAGUGCACAAUUAACUCCCAAAUAUCAACAAUUGAACCAUAAGUUUGUAUAAUACAACAAUCACACAAACACAAACAAGGAUUGCUUGUCAACAUGAUACUUGACACAUAACGCAAAUCAAAGAGAUUUUAAUGAACCCAUGAUAAAAACUAUGUUUAAAAAAACUUGUUGACGAAUUUUGCUGUACCCAAGUUGCUACAUGAUCAAUAACUAUGCAAAGAUAUAAAUACAUUUUAAUUGACCAUAUGUAAAUCAUGUACAAAAUGAAAACCUCAUAAAAUAAAGACGCAUUCAUGUAAAUGAAAACACAUAUUCUACUUCAAAUGAUCCCCUUCUACUUUGUGAAAAUGUCCAGGGGAAAAAACAAACAAAGAAACUGCUUUCACAGUUUCCAUAAUAACAGCUCAUAACCAGUGAAGGUCAACAAUAAAAACUAUUCUGCCAAGGCCCUCUAAAACAAUAAAACAAAACAUCUAGAACUACCAAAAACAACUACAAUUAAUCACAAUCCAAAAAAGGUUCCAGUCCAUCAUCCACUGUAAAUAUGUGUUUCCAGGACAUGACGGUCCUGACUACAUGCAAACUAAAUUUCCUCACUAUCCGAAGUCAAAAUAUAAUCAAGGACGUUCUGGAAACCAAAUAUUCACAACAACUCUAAAAUUAUAAAACUCAAAGUACUGACGAGGACUACCAGGAAUAAAAACAAAGCUAUAGGAAAGAAGACAUACAUCCAUUUAAAGUCAGAAGGCAAAAAUACGAAGUAACAAAGACAAAUCCAACAACAACAAAGUACGAAGCAUAAAAAAGCCAUUUCGAAGAUGCAGAAACAUAGAUGUCGCAAUCGCGGUGAACGAAACCGCCCGAUAGCACACCCGCUAAACGACGGUCUUCGGACGCCCCUCAUCGGACGCUGAUGGCAAAGGCCCCCACCUCCACGCGUGGGUUCCCCGCUGCUGACCUUUCCUUCGCUUCUAUGUUGUGGCGCCUGGGUUAAUCGGCGACCAGUGUGUGUGCAUCGGUUGAUGCGAAGUAGGAGCGUCACGGCCAUGCGAGUGAGUGCGGGGAGGAGGACGGUAGUGCCGCGGAGCAAGAAGAGCCUGAAGCCAGCCCUGCGUUGAACGUCAUCCUCGCGGGACCCGAGUCAAGGCUGCUGCUGCGUCGCAUUGAUUGUUGGGUGGGAGGGAGUGCGGUGCAUUUCCCCGAGCGUUUAAAGGUUAGGUCUGAUCGUCUAGGGGAGGAAGAAAGAAGAGGGGGAGGGAGAGGGGGUAGGAGAGCGAAAGUUCCGAGGUUGGAUAGUAGACUUGGGCGGGUGCGGGCGCGGGGCAGUGAGUAAGGGAGGGAGAUGAGCGUGAGGUGCCGAAGCGGAGGGAGGGAGGGAGUUUGAGUGGCGGUGGUGGCGGUGGUGGAGGGUCGCGAGCUGGAGGAUAGAAUGUUGGCAGUGUUGCAGAGGCAGCAGGAACGACAGUUCAUCGGAGGGGGAGUGGAGUCGGCGUUUAUGAGUGGUGGUGCGGGGGGGUUGUCAUCGCUGGAGGGCGGGGUGUCGUCGCAUGAGUCGAUGGUGGACUACGUGCCGAUGUCUCAGCACAUGCAGACGCAGCAUGCAAUGCGGCGGCUGAACUCGUUCUCGCCGUCGGUGUCGAAGGAGGGCGAGGGCGCGAUGAAUGGCGUGUCUCCGCAGGUGUUCCAGCGGAGCCAGAGCUUCGGGGGCGGGGGAGGAGGCGCGACCGUGCAUUCGCACGCGUUCAACAACCUGUUUUCGAGCCCGCCGAGCUCGCCCGUGUCGAAGGGCGAGUGUCUGGGGCUGUCGUUGCUGGAGGAGGAGUCGCUGAUGGAGGUGGGGGGCGGGAAAGCGAGUUUCUUCGAGGAGGUGGGGAAGGGAGGCGGACGGGCGGAGCUGCGGGGGCUGAGCUUGGCUCCGGGGUCGCCACUGGGCGGGGGCGGCUCGUCGAUGGGGUCGCCGACAUUUUCCGAUGCGCUGUUCAACAAGUUUCUACCGUCGAACAACGAGGACGAGGAGGCGUGGCCGGCGGUGGACAUGUACGGGUGCGAUCAGUUCCGGAUGUUCGAAUUCAAGGUGCGGCGAUGCAUGAGGGGGAGGAGCCACGACUGGACGGAGUGUCCGUUCGCACAUCCCGGGGAGAAGGCUCGGCGUCGCGACCCGCGGCGGUUCCACUACUCGGGCACGGCGUGUCCGGACUUCCGGAAGGGGAGCUGCCGACGGGGGGAUAUGUGCGAGUUCGCGCACGGGGUGUUCGAGUGCUGGCUGCAUCCGGCUCGGUACAGGACGCAGCCUUGCAAGGAUGGGCGGAACUGCCGUCGUCGGGUGUGCUUCUUCGCGCACACGCCGGAGCAGCUGCGGUUGCUGCCGGCGGCCGCACAGGCAGCGACGACGGCCGCUCGGAACGGAGGGUCGUACGACGGGUCGCCCCGAGCGAGUGUGGCGGCGAGCUACGACGGAGCGUUCGCGUACGAGGGGGUGUCUUACGACGGGGCAUCGGUGGGGCUCGUCGGAUCGGCUUUGAGCCACUUCUCGGGGUACUCGAGCUCGGGACACUCGGGGGCGGGGUGCGUGGCGUCGCAGAAUUCAUCACCUCGGUCGACGCUGGUCGGGCACGCCCAGUAUCCGGCGCCGCUGUCUCCUCCGCUGUCGCCUUCGGGGUCGCCUCCGCUGUCACCCGGUUCGCCAGAAGAAUGGGCGGGGAGCGGGGGCGCGUUUGCGAGCCUGUCGAUGUCUGGGAUGUCGGGAGCGCAGUCGGCGAUGUCUCUGCAGGCGAGCCUGCAGCAAGCCGCGCAGGUGCGGUCGCUGGGCGGGCACGCGCAGCCGUGCACGGUUCCGGCACAUCGGCGGCAUUUGGAUCGGUUGAACUCGAUGCCGACGCUGUCGAUACCGAGCGCGGGGGAGCAUCGGGGCGUGCACUCGGGCGGGCAUUUGGGGGUGCAUCCGGGGUCGGCCCCGUCGUCGCCGUCGGGGGUGGCGCAGAAGUCGAUGAUGGAGUUGAUCGCGACGCUGCAGCAGUUGGAGGUGCGGGGGGCGCCCCCGGGAUCGGCAGCGCAGUGGUUGCAGCAGCAGUACACGACGGGGCCGUCGCCGCUGCGGCGUUGCUCGCAGAGCGUGCCCGGGACGCCGACGAAGGUGUCGGCGCGGUGGGAGCAGAAGGAGCGGUGGGAGGUGGACGAGAACGACGAGGGGGAGCCGACAGUGCAGCGGGUGGAGAGCGGGCGGGAUCUGCGGGCGAAGAUAUACGGGCGGCUGGGGAGGAGUUCUUUGAAGGAUGCGGGGCCGGCGAUGGGAGAUUCGCCAGAUCUGGACUGGGUGAACGAUCUGGUGAAGGAGGAGCCGGAGCAGUCGGCGGCGUGGUGAGGGGAGAGGCGGGAGGAUGCGAUGCGAUGCUCCGCGCUUGGGUUAUGGUGGUGUUGCGUGCGGAGUGGUUUCUGCGGUGCGAAGGCGGAGGCGUGGAGGGUGUGGAAUGUGGGGCGCAGGGUUGGUGGAUAGGAGGGCGGGGUAGGGAGGGGGAUUAGAGUGGGAGGUGGUAUUUGAUGAAUAUUGGGUUGGGAGGGGACGGGUGCGAGUAUGUGAAUAGGCGGAGCGGGGAAGUGACAUGGGUAUGGCGUGGAGGGACUGAUGUUGCGCCUGUGUAAGAGCGGGGAGGGGUUGUGAUUGCAGCCGUGACAGCGGAGGAGGGUGGAGGACGUUGCUGGUCGCCCCUUUUGUCGGGGAGGAAUUGGCACAGGAGUUGAUUUGGGGGUUGGGGGGGGGGUAUAUUGUUGAUUACGGUAGGGGGAUGAGAAUGGGCCGGAAGGUGGUGGCAAUGGACCAUCGGAGGGCGAUGGAGAGCGAGGGGUGAUGAUAUUAUACAUAUUUGGGACUAUUGGUGUGCGCACCUGAGAGGAGCAGGCGGUGCGGAGGUAGGAGAUUGACGUAAUGAGAAAUUAUUAUUCUGCUCGGUUUUGGCCGCCCCAAAAGGAGCUGGGAGAAGACACGAGACGGGGCGAUACCCAUUUUUUUGGAUUUUUCACUCAAAUUGUGAUUGUAGGUAGGCAGGCUUUUGUUGAUUUACCAAAAGCAGGAUUGUAGUGGUAGAGACGGAGGAGCAUGCAUGUGGAUACUUUUGUGUACAUGCCAAGGGAGUUGAGAUUGUGACGUUAUGGAGCGUGGAGGUCUGGGAGGAAAGUAGACCUUAGUGACAGGAGAGUCUAGUCAUACGACGGAUCGACCUAUCUCAAUUCGGAAGGACAAUGCGCCGAUCUAUUUGCCUAGGAUUAAAAGUGUACAUUCAUUCAUGAUGUCAUGAUGGCGAUGGCUUUUGUAAUAUAUGUUUCUCUGCCCUGCACAUUGAUUUUUGCGGUACGGUGUGUAUGUGUGACGGCGUGUAUGGCGGGAGGGAGAGAGUGGCUCUGUGGGUGGUUGUGUGAUGGGUAGGGUUGGGCGCGUCGUGGCCGUGGAGCAGUCUUUGCAGUUUGGGUGCCCGCCGGGUGUGGAGGGUGGGAGGGAUUGCUUUUUUAUUUAGUGUAUGUUUGUGGAGUCGCGAUGGCGUGUGGUUGGAAUUGGGUUGGGGCGGGACGUGUUGUCUGAAGGACGCUGAUCUUGCGGGUAUCUGGGUUGGAGCGUGAUCGUGUGAGGUGGAAGGUGGUGCGGCGAGGGUUUGGGAUGUUGGUGUUGUGAAGCUGGGUGGAUGUGUUGGCGAGAGGGUAUGGGGUGGAGGAAUGGAGUAGGGGUUUGUUGACGUGGAUGUGACUGUGGUCGUUGCAGUGUACGCUGUGGUUGUGUCGAGUUUGUGAAAGGGGAGGAGGCAGAGUGUAUCUUCUUGGAGAUUCAGGGACAACGCUGCUUUCUUGCUUUCGAUUGAGUAGCGGUACCGUGGAUUUAUACUGUUGCUGGUUAGUUUUUCUUUUAAUAUGCAUUUAACCUUGUCUCGUGGGUUUUUUUUUUUUUUUUUUUUUUUUUUUUCCCUUUCUUUCUCGCUUUUUUUUGCAUCUGUUAAGGGAUUUUCGUUUAUUUAUUUAUUUUGUUUUGGUUUUAGGGUUGAAAGUAUGGUCAGCUUAUCUCUGUAGCUCAACUUUGAUUCGUUCUGUUUUAUUAUAUUUGGGUGAUGUGGAUGUUGUUGUGAUUGUAUGUUGACCGGUUCAAUUCCUCGGAUUAUAUUUUCCAUGAGUUGACGGUGAUUUUGGUUUUCGUUUGUCGUACAUCCCUUUAUUUGUAGAUUUGGUUCUAAGUUUUCUAGCUAGUUUCGUGAAGUGGAGCCUGUAGGUAUUUUGUGUAAUUUCCGGCGUCGUUGUGUAAUUUCCGGCGUCGUUGCGUUCUGAUUCCGGCACUGUCUCUUUUUUUUCGUUUUCAACGAUUGUACGAUGUGGUUGGUUGUGUAUCUCCAGUUUUUUUUUGAGGUUUAUUUAUUUAUUUGUUUUUCCAACUAUCUUUUGUUAUUGUUGUGUAUUCCGCUUUGCUGAAGCAAUUGUGGAGAAUGUUCUUCGAAAUGUUUUAUUUGGCGUCUGGAAUGCUUCCCCAGAGUUUGUCAGGCGGAUGUAGCUCUCAAGUUUGGCAUUGUAUAUUGACUUGUCGCUGUAAGUGUAGCCCUGAAUUCUCUAGAGUACGUAUUUUUAUACCAUCAGGUCACUGUGGUGUGGUUUGGCUGAAUUGAGGAUCCAAAACUGAUCUUGAUUUGUUAUGACGCGUUUGUCUGUUUCGAUCCACAGUCACUCACUGUAAACUGGGAUAUGGCAGUUCGAAUGGAAUGGUUAUCUCAUUCACCGAGAAUGGGCCGUCUACUGUGGUUGCUGGACUGGGAGUCAACAUCGACCACGUCUGGCAUCGCACUCGUGCUCAUUAGAUUGAGGAUUGGAGCAAAGUUAUGAGACCGAAGAUUGCGCGCAAUCUGACAGUCAUCAGUAUUUAUGACGAUCUAGACUUCAAUGGUAAGAUUCUGCAGUCAAUGAUUCCCCUCUGCUUAAAAGAUAACUGCGUGCUUUGUCACUUGACUAUCAGAAUUGCAGUGUAUGGUGUGGUUUUCAUUGUGCUUGAAAGAUUAUGCACUAAUUGGCAUCAACCUCCCAGGAGCUACAUCUCAACAGCUUACUUUGCAAUAUGCGGAUGAUACGUCAUUCUUUGUCCGUGCAAAAGAACAAGUGAAAACAUUGAUUGAUAUCCUCGACACCUUUGCCUUGGCCUCCGGACUAGUGAUUAAUUGGGCAAAAUCCAGUGAUUAUUGGGUGAGUAAACACGAUCCUCGACUUGCAUGGACGAAUGCAUACGAUUGGGUCUGGGUGUGGGAUGGGCACAUAGCUAAACUACUAGGCAUCUUAUUUGGGCUCUCCAUUAGUACACCUGAUAUUGACAAUUUAUUAAAAGGAAAGAUCUAGCAGAAACUCACAUUUUUGGUCUCAACAAAAUUGUCUUAAGCAGGACACAAACUCGUUGUAAAUCAAAUUCUACUAUCAACACGCUAGUACUUCGUGGGGGUAUGAACAUGCUCACGGAAGGUUAUUAAACAAAUCAAGGCUCUCCUCAGGAACUAUCUUUGGACUGGAAGAGAACAUCGUACAAGUGCAUGAGUGGCGUGGUUGACAUGAAUCCUCAAAAAGCAAGAGAAAGUAAGCAUCACUGACUCGGAAGAUGCAAUGGACUGUCUCCUAAACAAAUAGAUCUUGAAAGCUCUCGAACUGAAGAAGUGUAACCUGACUGCCCUCCUUUGGUACAAGCUUGCCACAUUUCAACCGAACAAAGGCGGGAGAUGGAGCAAUGAUCUAAACUUGGCGAUGCUUACAAGACACAUACACUCAAGCGGAUCUAUUAUAUGGGCCCAGAUUGGCAAAACAUGGAAGAAACUAGCAAAAGUAAUCCAGUAGCGUAAGCCACAUACACGCGCUGAAAUCACCAACAUCAGACUCUGGUUUAGUUCGAAAUUUGUGACAUCAAUACACCCUACAAUCACAAUGGUUCAAAGGGCCACAUGGUAUAAACGUGAGUGCAGACAAAUUAGAGAUUGCAGAGCAGAAGAUCAGACCCAAUACCUUGCCUCAGAAGCACGGAUUUGGUUUCACUCGAGUGAGGAUGAGCAGCCCUAGUGGAACAUCAUAAUAACAACCAUCCAAUAGGAGUUUGGGCUGCUUUUGAACAAUAUCCCACCCACCACCAAAGUAGGCGGCUAGCUUGGCCUAUAUAAAUGAGACUCCUUGCUGCAUCCAAUUCUAGUCACCCAAGCUAUCCCAAGUUUCUGCCCACCUUUAGGAAUGGAACAAUCCGUUGCCUAUUCCAAAUUCACCACCAAUACCUUUCGAGUUGGACCUGUGGAUCAGAUCCUACAUCCCACAUCCAACCUAUCCUCCUGGAUCCAAUACACUCCACACGCAUAUAACACAAGGGCCAGUGAUACCCCCAACCAAGGACAUGCUGAUCUGCAAGAUAGAGAAAAUUCGGGUUGUAUCGGUGUAAUACAGUUCCAAGAAAACGGUGAUCCGUUUCUUCUACGGCUCCUUCUCCAAACUCGAGUUCAAUCUUGAUAGACAUAGAUAGGAAGGCAACACACCAAUCUUCCAGUUCACCCCAUGAACCGCAAGAACAUGGGUAUCAAACUUGACCAACCCCAUAUCUCUCUGUACAACCAAAUAUAAAGGCCCUCCCUACAUUGAAACUUAAUUCAUGCCAAAAAAGAAAAAGAAAAAAAGAAAAAAAGAAAAAAGAUUAUGCAGUAAUGUUUGAAACAGAGGCCAACAAGUUCUUUUAAAUACAUUACCACCCAUGAGUUGGAUUUAUCUACUCUUGGAUUUGAGUGUAGUAUGCAAUUUGGAGAAAAGUAGUGUUAGAUUUAUUUCAAAACAAUGAUAUGUCUUUCUUUUUAUGUUUUUUGAAAUAAAAGGGAUUUCACUUUUUUAAUUAAAAAAAUUAGGUAAAUAAUAUAGUCUUAAAUAGGUCAUCAUUAUGACUAAAUUAGGCCUAUCUUAGGAGAUAGAGUGUAAUUUCACCUCAAUUAGAAUUUUGCAUCUUUUAGUCUUAUCAUAUUGUGUCUUAUAACUUUUUAAAGAAUUAAAAACUAUUUUAUAACUUCUUGUUUAUUGUAAUUAAUUUUUUCUUCCAAAAACUUAUAUUGCAGUUAAUUAGCUUAUGCUAGAAUAAAAAGAUUGUAAUAUCUUUUUUCUAAGAUUUUUCUUUAAUAAUCACAUAUUUUCUUUGUUUUGAUGUAGUAUAAUACUUAUAAUAUAUAUAGGAGAAUGAUAAAACAAUCCAAAUUUUUAUUAAAGCAAUUCACCUUCUUUGUUCUCAAUCCUGCUUCUUCUAUUUCCAAUUUUCAAUCUAAACACCAUUCCUAGCUUUCAUCACGGUGUCGUAUUGUGACACGACUAUAUGGUGAAAAUAUGACAAAAAAAAUGAUAUUUUAAUUAAUAUUCUAUUAUCAUGGUUCAACAAGCAUUCAAUAUAUUUUACAAGGCUUUUAUAAAAGCCUCUAAUCCUAUUUUCUUCACUUAAUAGCUAGUAGAUAAAAACUAGUUAGUAAUUUUACCUUCUAGGCUGUAGUAACUUUUUUAUUGCCUUAGAAAGGCCAUAAAAUGGUAAAGAAAGGAUAAAAAGGAUAAUUUAUUAGCAUGGUUGAUACUAGGGUUAAGUUGAGGGUAGGAUCGGGCUAUAAAACCACUAGGAUAGAUUAGAUUGAUAUCCGGGGGUCGGCCGGAUAUGAGACAGGGUCGAAAUCCGACCUCCAACCACUAAAACGGCAGCCUAGGGCAAAAUACGGGGGUUUUUUCAGAUCGGGUUUUUGGAUCGAAGAGCUAGCUUCAAGCUCUUUUCAAGGUCACUAGUUCGGUUUCAUUAGGAUUUGUGAGAGGAGAGCAAUCGCUGCUCAAAGUCAGUGUUUAUUUUGGUGUUUCGGAUUUUAUAUAAAACAUUGAUGGUUUGCAUUCUCAAUCGGUUUGUGCAAGUCGUGUAGCAUCUAUGGGUCAAAAUUUGGUAUUGUCUGGAUAGUUGGGUGUGCUAAGUGUAUACAAAAAUUUGUGUUAAUCUAACGAUGCAAUCAAGAGAUAUCUGGGUUUUAGUACAAAAGGGUUGUCGGAAGUUGGCAGUCUAGGGUUGGAUAGGGUUUCUGUGAUAUUUGAAGAUCUAUUGGUUGGAUCGACGUAAUUUUUGGCUUGGUAAUAGAAGAUUUGGAGAUCAAGCGGCUAUUCAAUUUUGAGCUGGAGUUAACGGUUGACAAAGGAGAAAUCACUUCUAGAGUUUCUACAUCAAAUUUCAAGGUUCCGCCGAGUGUCAUUAGUGCGGUUUUUGGGCGUUUUCUUGCAAUCUGUAAGUUGGAUUGGGCUGAAAUUUUCUGAGCAUAUAGAAGGCUUAUACUGGUAUUUGGGUGCAAAAUUUCACACUAAGUGGACGGUUGGAUCAAAAGUUACAGCUUGUCAAAGCUCACUUGCUAGAGUUAGGGCUUGUUAAGAAAAACAAAAACAACUUAAUUAUAAAAGAAAUAAAGCAAUUGGAAUAUUGUAUGGUUAAAAUGACUAUGAGGAGUGUUUUUAAAUACUUGGAAAUUGAUAUUUCAAUUAUAUUCUUCAUACAUGGAUAAAAUCUAUUAGGGUUUCUUUGUUAUUUGCAAAAACAACUAUACCUUCCACAACCAGAUAUCCAAUGUAUUGCCGAACAAGACAACACGUAAUACAACAGCGGUGAUGUGAGGAUCUGCAAGCAUGAUGUGGCAUUUGUUGGACAAUCGGAGGCUAUGAUGACAAUUGACAACUCCCUCUAUAAAUAGUAGUAAAGACAUUACUUGGCCAUAACUAUCGAUUUUUAUUUUUGUUGCCUCUUUUGAUUUCAAAUAAAAAAAAUCGAACUAAGUAUUUUCAAAGUUAUAUUUCUAUCAUAAUUUGACAAUUUUUGUAGCUACUAAAUAUGUAGAUGGCUAAAUUCUUGUUCUAUUAUGCAUUUAUAAUAGUUGGUCUAAAAAGUCUAGAGUUAAUUAAGUCUUUGAAUAAUGUACAUUGUCACAAUGUCUAAAACAUAGAAGACCUCACCAUAUUGAAACUCCAUACCAAUGAUAGUUUACAAAAGUUCUAAUAAUUCGAGUUCAAUCAAUAUGGACAAGGGCAACAAUAUUGAAGAGGCUCUCUCAAGACAAUCAAAUAGCCAACCAGAUUCUAUAUACUUUGAGCAUUUAAAUUAACAUAAAUACUUUUCUUUCACUAGGGAUCAUCACUAGAACAAACGGAGAGAAUUAGACAUGAUGGAAAGGAAAAAAAAUGUCAAAUAAAAGAAGUCACCUUCCAAAGUAACUUCAAACUUAAGGAUAUAAAUAAAUUUGACUUGUUUGUAAGAAUUAUUCACUCCAAAAGCUAUAGAAAGAGAUGUGAUGGGAAUUUUAGUUCUUAAACAUACCUAAUUAUAUAUCUUGUAAUAAUUCACUUUUACUCAAAGUAUGAGUGUAUGUAAGUGAGUAUGAAUGAGAGAAUGAAUGAAUGAAAGAGUGAAUAAGUGACAUUGCAAAGUAAUAGUCCUCACUUUACGUCUAUGCAAACAAACUCUUAUCAUAUUGCAUAAGUGAUAUUAUAUUAAACUAAAAUAGUUAUUUACAAAGGAAAUAAUACUAAAGACUCUUGAAACAAGACCAAAUACAAAAAAGACAUUGACAAGAGUGAAGAAGGAUUUAUUCUUGCCUGUAUAUACACUACCUAAUUAAGAGCUAUAGGAUGAUAUUCUAUAAGACCUUUCAUACAUGUCUAACUUGCAUAGCCUUGACCAUUAUAUAUGGUCAUAUAUAGUUCUUCAUUCUGCUUUGAGAAAGUCUUUGUCUUAAUCUUCAAUGCUUCAAGAGCAUUAAUAAUAGAAUCUAACUUGAUCUCUUUAGAGUCUGCCAUAUUGACUUUUCCACCUUCUGCCAUAGGAAAUGAAAGAAACACAUGCCUUCAAAAGAAAAAAAAACCUUAUCUAUGAUAUAAAAAAAAGAAACCAAAAGAAUAUUAAAAAAAGAACAAUAUUAGUCUAGAGGAGGGUAAUCUGCAACCUCUAGAAUGCUAUAGUACUUCCAAGAAGAGGAGUAAUCCACUCUCUGUCAAGAAAGACCAAAAUCCUAAUAUUAUUUUAUGGCAGUCUUGAGAAACUAUUAAAGACCAUAAAUAAGACAAGGAUUCAAGACCAAGAAAUAGAAUUAGUUUGACAUUAGAACAACAACUAGAUACAAGGUAAGAAGGUCUUGGCAAGACCACAAGAAGGGAGUUGUCAAGACUGAGGAUCCCCUCAACCUCGACUCCUAUACAUACUAGGUCUUUGGAAGCUUCUUGAGAAGUUUUUACGAGGCUUGAGAAUAAAGCAAGCCUAAGAUCCUUCUUUGGCAACUUCCUAAAUCAUCUAAAGCCUCCUAGAACCUUCUAGGAUCUCCUAUGACCUAGAGCCUUCUUAGAACCUAUUUGUACCUUCUAGAACCUUCUGGAACCUUCUUCAGUUGUAUGUCCGUGACAAUUAAGGUGGAUGAAUUCUUAUUUGUAGAUAUGAAAUCAUUCUUUGAUAAAAAUUCAUUUAUAGAUGAGAAUUUAUCUUAGAUGAACUUUUAACUUGGAUAAUUUAUUAUUAUUAGAUAAAAAAAUAUUAAAAUAAAAUAAAAUCAUAUAAAAAUUUUCUUUCAAAGAAUGUAAUUUGAAGUAUUUAUUAUUGCUUAUAUUGUUAUUAUGGAUGUCUUAAAAAAUUAUGGAUGAGUUAAAAAAUUAAAGAUCUUUCAUAAAAAAAUACAAAUGCAAUUUAAUUAAUAAAAUCAUAAAUGGCUAAUAGUUAUGAAUUAGUAUAAUUCACCUACUAGAAGACUUUAUCUAGCUCAAAAUUAAAGAGAUAUGGAACUAUUAGAUACAAAUUAAUUUCUACUUGAGAAUUGUUACAAUAUUUAGAAAAUUAAAUCAUUGUGAACUAGAUUAUACUUCAAACUAAUGGGAGUUUAUUUUAGUUCACAACAUGCAUGCAAUAUUUAACUUUUAUUUCAUGUUAUAGUAGCUAUCUCUAGGAUCUCUUAUAUAAGUAAAAUAUUAUAUUCUUAAAGUUCAAUCUUCUUCAAUUUAGUUGUUUUUAUUAAAAUGAUAGUAAUUCUUAUUGAAUAGAGGAUUUUUUUUUAUUCUAUUAAAGAUAGUUAAAUAUAAAAUAAAAUUUGUUUGAAUGUACAUAUUUGAGGUCUUUAGUCAAAAGAUGCUAUGCUUUGUAUAACCAUUUCUAGAUCUUUGAAUGUAAAGAAAAUUAAGAUGAUGUCUUGAUUGUCUAAUAUAGAUAUUAAAAACCAAUUGUUGAUGUUUUGAAAAGUUCAAAUGAAUUGGAAUAUAUAAAUAUAUAUAUAUAUAUAUAUAUAUAUAUAUAUUAUAAAAUUUUGAUAAAAUGAGGUUUUUGGCAUUAAUGACUUGAAAAUCUUAAGUAUUAUAAAGACAUUUUAGGUUGUAUCUAAAUCUAUCAAACUAGAAAUUCCAUGUUGUGUACAAGAAAUUAUUUGUUAUGUGAUUUUAGUAUAAGUGUUAGUAUCCUUAUUAAAUUCAAGUAAAGUCCUUAGUUAUUUAUUUAAUAGCUUUUAUAACUUGGAUUGAUUUAAUUUAUAUUUUAAUGAAGUGGAUGAUUGAAUGAUAUAACUAACAAUUAGUAUUUUUGUAACUAGAUUGAAUUAUAAAGAAUACUAAUACUUAAGUUUUAUUUAUACAUAUUUGAUAAGGAAGAUGUUGAUGGUUGAAGAAUCUAGAUUGACUCCAAAGAGAUAAAAGAAAAUUAAAAUUUUAUAAAAUAAUCUAAUUAAAUAUGAACUUAUCAGUCCAAGGUAGUUUGGAUACAUUAAUGUAACAUAGUGCCAUAGAUUAUAACCAAUUUAUGUAUAGCCUUAAAGAGGAAUGAAAAUAUUUUAUAAUCAUAAUAACUUUUUAUUAAUAGAUUCUAUUCUCUUUAAAAAAUAUUGUAGAAUUGUCAAUAUAUUGAAUGAUAAUUACUUGGUUGUUGUAGUGUGGUAAGAUAUAUAUAUAUAUAUAUAUAUAUAUAUAUAUGAGAUCGAAAAGCAUAAUUGUCUUGAGAUUGAAAUGAAGAAUAUUUCCUACUAUCAAAAAAGUUAAGAAGAUAAGAAACAACAUUGUUUAUACCUUCAGUAGUAAGAUAAUUUGAAGAUCUUCACCCAUUUGAUAAUAAUAUGAGCUUUAACAUAAAUAAAAAGAAUCUUGGUCAUUAUAAUAAAAGUUAUUCUAAAUCUUAAAAAUAUUAUUGAUUGUAUAUAAAAGUUUGAUUAAUAAAAUUGAUUGCUUUUACAAAAUUAAACUUCAAUAAUAUAAGGCAUCACUUGAGUGCUUUGACUUAAUGUAUGUCUUUAUGAACUAAAAUCAUAUUGAUGAACUAACAUUAUGUUGAUAAGGAUAUAUUUGAAAAGAGAUAAGACACUUUGAUUUAAGCUUAUAACUUUUAAAAGAACACAUUGAUUCCUCAAUUGUAGAAUACUUAAAAACAUUCUUAUUUAUAAAACUUAAGAGAGUUAUAGGUCAAUAAUUUCCUAUUGAUUUCUAAUUACUAUUUUUGAAUAUUAGAAAAUUUUAUUCUUUCAUUAUAAAUUGAAAAAAACACUCUUCUUUGCAAAGAUUUUAAAGAACUUAAUAUUUGAUCAAUAUAUAUUAGUUGUGAAGAGAUGCAAUGUAUAUGCCUCUUGCUAGGAGUGAGUUGUUAUUUGCUAUGUUUUACACUCUAAGAUUGUUUUUCUAGACGUCUUCUUUUGAUUCUUUCAUAAAAUUUUGUCUUGGCAAGAGAUUAGUAUAUAGAAGUCAUAAGCAAAGGAGACCUUGUAUUUUAUGAUACAUGAUUGAUUAUAUAAAAAAUAGUUGAGCUUUAAAUCUAAGGAGCUUAGAAUUCCAUCUACAUUUAUUAAAUUAUAAAAAGUUGUAAUAUUCCAGAAUUGUCUUACACUACAUUAAUCAAUUUAUAUUGUAAGCAAGAAGGUCUACAAAAUAUUAUUAGAAAUAGCUUGGAUCAACCAUUGUAUUUCAUAACAAAGUGCAAUAAAAAAUUAUAGCUAUAGUAGCUAUAGUUAAAAAAAAACUAUAUAGCCUCCCAACUUUUUAAAGAGUACUUUUAUGUCAACUUUUGCAAAAGAUUAAUAGGUAUUUCCUAAUAAAUUCUUAAUAUUUCCUAAUAAAUACUUAACUAAUAAUUAAGAAAGAAUACAUAUUUAAUAUUAUAUGGUACCAUUUUUAUAAAAAAAAACGUUUUUUUCUUCUUUAAGAUCAAAAUCAUACCCCAAGAUAAUAUAUAUAUAUAUAUAUAUAUAUAAUAAUACAAUAUAAUAAAGCAUCUCCUCUAAAUGGGAGGUUCUUGCAAUAAUCAAAGCAUGUGACAAUGUAGACAAUUUCAAGGACAAUUAUCCAAUAAACUCUUUGUAUUAAAAAAAAGGGGGGGAGGGGAUCUCUAUCCAACUCAACUAUAAAGACUGAAUGUCAAUGCUAUAAAAAACUUUUUUAAAACUUACAAAUUACACAAGACUUGUGAAGACAACUUACAAAACUUUAAAAUAUUUAAAUGCUGCAUUUAUAAGCUGAAGCUCAAUUAAGUUUAAUCCUUGGAAUUUAAGGUUUUCUUAGAAUUUGUUUAGAGAUUAAUUAAUACUGAGUAGGACUUCUUCACAAAUUGCAUGAAACUUUCUUAGAAUCUAAUUAAGAAAUUGUAGAGUUUCAAAAAAAUGUAGUUCUAAUUUUGUUGAAAUUUCUAGUGGUUUGCUUAAAUUUUAUUUAGAAUUUCUGAAUAAAUAUUUAAGAUUGGAUUUGAGUCUAAUACUUAAGAAUUUAAAAUACAAAACUGACAGGCUCUUGAAUUGCCUCAAAUUAGAAUGUCUCAACAAUUAGGAACUAUUAAGUAACCUACAUGUAAAGUGCAUAUUAAUUUGACUUGUAAGAAACAGAUGGACUUCAAGUCAUCAAACUCCACAAACCAAUACAUACUCCACGAUCCACCAACACAGCAGGCCAACCAACAACUCAAUGUUUUAAAUUUUCAAACAAUAUAAAAAGGCCAAAGCAAGAUCUUUUGAGAAUAAGCAAAUAAACAAACCAAACUAUCAAGGGGCAAAAAAAAAACAAAAAGAAUCAAUACGAAGUGCUAAACAAAUAUCUCCCGGAAAAAAAAAAAAAAAAAAAAAAAUGAGGCAAGUAUACCACAAUCAGCUUCAAAAGUGGAAAUAAAAACCACCGACCGGAAAAUUCAAAACCAAAAAAAAAACAAAGUUUACGCACGCCAAGAAACAGCGUUGUCCCUGAAUCUCCAAGAAGAUACACUCUGCCUCCUCCCCUUUCACAAACUCGACACAACCACAGCGUACACUGCAACGACCACAGUCACAUCCACGUCAACAAACCCCUACUCCAUUCCUCCACCCCAUACCCUCUCGCCAACACAUCCACCCAGCUUCACAACACCAACAUCCCAAACCCUCGCCGCACCACCUUCCACCUCACACGAUCACGCUCCAACCCAGAUACCCGCAAGAUCAGCGUCCUUCAGACAACACGUCCCGCCCCAACCCAAUUCCAACCACACGCCAUCGCGACUCCACAAACAUACACUAAAUAAAAAAGCAAUCCCUCCCACCCUCCACACCCGGCGGGCACCCAAACUGCAAAGACUGCUCCACGGCCACGACGCGCCCAACCCUACCCAUCACACAACCACCCACAGAGCCACUCUCUCCCUCCCGCCAUACACGCCGUCACACAUACACACCGUACCGCAAAAAUCAAUGUGCAGGGCAGAGAAACAUAUAUUACAAAAGCCAUCGCCAUCAUGACAUCAUGAAUGAAUGUACACUUUUAAUCCUAGGCAAAUAGAUCGGCGCAUUGUCCUUCCGAAUUGAGAUAGGUCGAUCCGUCGUAUGACUAGACUCUCCUGUCACUAAGGUCUACUUUCCUCCCAGACCUCCACGCUCCAUAACGUCACAAUCUCAACUCCCUUGGCAUGUACACAAAAGUAUCCACAUGCAUGCUCCUCCGUCUCUACCACUACAAUCCUGCUUUUGGUAAAUCAACAAAAGCCUGCCUACCUACAAUCACAAUUUGAGUGAAAAAUCCAAAAAAAUGGGUAUCGCCCCGUCUCGUGUCUUCUCCCAGCUCCUUUUGGGGCGGCCAAAACCGAGCAGAAUAAUAAUUUCUCAUUACGUCAAUCUCCUACCUCCGCACCGCCUGCUCCUCUCAGGUGCGCACACCAAUAGUCCCAAAUAUGUAUAAUAUCAUCACCCCUCGCUCUCCAUCGCCCUCCGAUGGUCCAUUGCCACCACCUUCCGGCCCAUUCUCAUCCCCCUACCGUAAUCAACAAUAUACCCCCCCCCCCCAACCCCCAAAUCAACUCCUGUGCCAAUUCCUCCCCGACAAAAGGGGCGACCAGCAACGUCCUCCACCCUCCUCCGCUGUCACGGCUGCAAUCACAACCCCUCCCCGCUCUUACACAGGCGCAACAUCAGUCCCUCCACGCCAUACCCAUGUCACUUCCCCGCUCCGCCUAUUCACAUACUCGCACCCGUCCCCUCCCAACCCAAUAUUCAUCAAAUACCACCUCCCACUCUAAUCCCCCUCCCUACCCCGCCCUCCUAUCCACCAACCCUGCGCCCCACAUUCCACACCCUCCACGCCUCCGCCUUCGCACCGCAGAAACCACUCCGCACGCAACACCACCAUAACCCAAGCGCGGAGCAUCGCAUCGCAUCCUCCCGCCUCUCCCCUCACCACGCCGCCGACUGCUCCGGCUCCUCCUUCACCAGAUCGUUCACCCAGUCCAGAUCUGGCGAAUCUCCCAUCGCCGGCCCCGCAUCCUUCAAAGAACUCCUCCCCAGCCGCCCGUAUAUCUUCGCCCGCAGAUCCCGCCCGCUCUCCACCCGCUGCACUGUCGGCUCCCCCUCGUCGUUCUCGUCCACCUCCCACCGCUCCUUCUGCUCCCACCGCGCCGACACCUUCGUCGGCGUCCCGGGCACGCUCUGCGAGCAACGCCGCAGCGGCGACGGCCCCGUCGUGUACUGCUGCUGCAACCACUGCGCUGCCGAUCCCGGGGGCGCCCCCCGCACCUCCAACUGCUGCAGCGUCGCGAUCAACUCCAUCAUCGACUUCUGCGCCACCCCCGACGGCGACGACGGGGCCGACCCCGGAUGCACCCCCAAAUGCCCGCCCGAGUGCACGCCCCGAUGCUCCCCCGCGCUCGGUAUCGACAGCGUCGGCAUCGAGUUCAACCGAUCCAAAUGCCGCCGAUGUGCCGGAACCGUGCACGGCUGCGCGUGCCCGCCCAGCGACCGCACCUGCGCGGCUUGCUGCAGGCUCGCCUGCAGAGACAUCGCCGACUGCGCUCCCGACAUCCCAGACAUCGACAGGCUCGCAAACGCGCCCCCGCUCCCCGCCCAUUCUUCUGGCGAACCGGGUGACAGCGGAGGCGACCCCGAAGGCGACAGCGGAGGAGACAGCGGCGCCGGAUACUGGGCGUGCCCGACCAGCGUCGACCGAGGUGAUGAAUUCUGCGACGCCACGCACCCCGCCCCCGAGUGUCCCGAGCUCGAGUACCCCGAGAAGUGGCUCAAAGCCGAUCCGACGAGCCCCACCGAUGCCCCGUCGUAAGACACCCCCUCGUACGCGAACGCUCCGUCGUAGCUCGCCGCCACACUCGCUCGGGGCGACCCGUCGUACGACCCUCCGUUCCGAGCGGCCGUCGUCGCUGCCUGUGCGGCCGCCGGCAGCAACCGCAGCUGCUCCGGCGUGUGCGCGAAGAAGCACACCCGACGACGGCAGUUCCGCCCAUCCUUGCAAGGCUGCGUCCUGUACCGAGCCGGAUGCAGCCAGCACUCGAACACCCCGUGCGCGAACUCGCACAUAUCCCCCCGUCGGCAGCUCCCCUUCCGGAAGUCCGGACACGCCGUGCCCGAGUAGUGGAACCGCCGCGGGUCGCGACGCCGAGCCUUCUCCCCGGGAUGUGCGAACGGACACUCCGUCCAGUCGUGGCUCCUCCCCCUCAUGCAUCGCCGCACCUUGAAUUCGAACAUCCGGAACUGAUCGCACCCGUACAUGUCCACCGCCGGCCACGCCUCCUCGUCCUCGUUGUUCGACGGUAGAAACUUGUUGAACAGCGCAUCGGAAAAUGUCGGCGACCCCAUCGACGAGCCGCCCCCGCCCAGUGGCGACCCCGGAGCCAAGCUCAGCCCCCGCAGCUCCGCCCGUCCGCCUCCCUUCCCCACCUCCUCGAAGAAACUCGCUUUCCCGCCCCCCACCUCCAUCAGCGACUCCUCCUCCAGCAACGACAGCCCCAGACACUCGCCCUUCGACACGGGCGAGCUCGGCGGGCUCGAAAACAGGUUGUUGAACGCGUGCGAAUGCACGGUCGCGCCUCCUCCCCCGCCCCCGAAGCUCUGGCUCCGCUGGAACACCUGCGGAGACACGCCAUUCAUCGCGCCCUCGCCCUCCUUCGACACCGACGGCGAGAACGAGUUCAGCCGCCGCAUUGCAUGCUGCGUCUGCAUGUGCUGAGACAUCGGCACGUAGUCCACCAUCGACUCAUGCGACGACACCCCGCUCUCCAGCGAUGACAACCCCCCCGCACCACCACUCAUAAACGCCGACUCCACUCCCCCUCCGAUGAACUGUCGUUCCUGCUGCCUCUGCAACACUGCCAACAUUCUAUCCUCCAGCUCGCGACCCUCACCACCGCCACCACCGCCACUCAAACUCCCUCCCUCCCUCCGCUCCGGCACCUCACGCUCAUCUCCCUCCCUUACUCACUGCCCCGCGCCCGCACCCGCCCAAGUCUACUAUCCAACCUCAGAACUUUCGCUCUCCUACCCCCUCUCCCUCCCCCUCUUCUUUCUUCCUCCCCUAGACGAUCAGACCUAACCUUUAAACGCUCGGGGAAAUGCACCGCACUCCCUCUCACCCAACAAUCAAUGCGACGCAGCAGCAGCCUUGACUCGGGUCCCGCGAGGAUGACGUUCAACGCGGGGCUGGCUUCAGACUCUUCUUGCUCCGCGGCAUUAUCGUCCUCCUUCCCGCACUCACUCGCAUGGCCGUGACGCUCCAACUUUGCAUCAACCGAUGCACGCACACUGGUCGCCGAUUGACCCAGGCGCCACAACAUAGAAGGGAAGGAAUGGCCGGCAGCUGGGGAGCUUGCGCCAAGGCGACCGUUGCACGGAGGGCGGCGUCCGGGGGGUUCCCGUUUCGGCAUUUGAACCCGUGCGCAUGCAAUGAGAGCGUGGUCUUUGUUGAGCGCCCGGCCCGCGAUUUCCGAGUCUCCGAGUGUUUGUUUAGGGGUUGUUCAUCCGCUUGAAUGAGUGAAGACUUGAUCGUUCCUCACAUCUCAACUUUUAGCAAACUGGGAGCUUUAGUUUUCUGGAUCGUCUUUAGAUUAAUGCAGUUGGUAAUCUUACGGGUUUUCUAUCUUACUUCGAUAUUGGUUAUUGCUUCAGCCAUUUUUAGGCUUCGUCCACACAAGUUCCUGCUCUGGUGGCUUUUCCUAAAUUGAUUUAUGUUUGGGGUAUAUUCUAGUUCUGUGUGGUGUCAACUGGUUAGGUUUCAGAUUUAUGGAUUUUCUAAUGCUUUCUAUCGUGACUGGUGUGGCUCGAAAGGAAUAUUUUGUUCCGGAGAACAGCAAAACUGUUGCUGAGUUUUUUCCAAGAGGUAUCAUUGAAGGAACAGUUUAUACCCCAGGGUUUUGGUGUGUAAUCUGUAUUUCUUCGUUUACAAUUUACGAAUUGGAGGCUCGGGUUGAAUAAGAUGUUUUCCAAGGCUGCAUUCACUUUGAAGCUCUACCCCUGUACAUUUCAUAUUGGAUUAUGUUAUAAGUUUUUUCAAUGAUCUUGUGAAAGUUGGAGUCUUUGUCUGGAGGAUCCAAAACUUGUUCAUUAUGCACAUCCUUUUGCCCUAAAUGAGUUGCAGCAGUUGUGUUUCGUUUUUUUCGGUUUCUUUUAGUUGCUUUUUACGUUCUCUAUCAAAAUGUGAGUUGAAUGUUAAGAUUUUCUGUGGGACGUUUAUUAGUUUAAUAUGAAUUUAUUUCUAAUGCAACUGUUGGAUCAUAAACCAUUUUUUAUUCUUUAUUUUUAUUUUUUUGUUGAAUGAGUCAGAAGCCAAGAUGCAGUAGGUUGGAGCUCAUUCUUAUUCCAUUAUUGGUAGCUGUUUGUCCACAUAUCAAAGUUUUUUGUCAAUGGUAUUUAGAUACAUGUGUGGUAAACAUAAAUAUCUAUAUAGUUAUUGUUUGGAAAGCAAGGUAGGGGUGGGGUAACAUAAACAUCCCAGUUUAAUCACACUAGUUUUUAUUCUUUUAUUUUGUUUGUUUUUUGCUUUCUUUCUUUCUUUUUCCUGCAGUUCAUGUUCCAUUGCCAGGAUUAGGGUUUAGGGUACUUGCAUUUUCUAUUAAAUUUACAAGCUUAGUUUUAUUCUCAUUUCAAAUUAACUCUCACUGUGUUUGGAGGUAUUCAAAACUCUAUUAUAAAUUUGUUGAAGCUUGUAACUCAUUGCCCCUCUUGGUCAAAAGAAACUCAUUUAUGUUCCAAAACAACCUCAAUAUCUUUGUGUUAUCUAGCCUCCAUACUUUCUUCUCUUUGUUUAUUUGUUUGUCCUUUACUCUUUGUUUUCUUGGCUCAAUUAAAUUCUGCUGUAAAACAUUUAAUGUUUCAUUAUCUGGACUAUGUAUAUUUUGGUUUUGUUUAUUCAUUUAUCUACACUUAAAAAAAAAAACAUGGACACAGCAACAACAACAACAACAAAAAGAACACAAAUCAAAACAUACAAACUAAACUGAGUUGGAAAUUAUGCAUUGAGCUGACUAUGAUGAGGUUUUGUGGCUGCCCAUUUUGUAGCUGAGAGUAUGGCAGGCAGGAGCUUCCAUUGCCAAUGCCAAUGAAGAGAUGCAAGUGAUAGCCUUUCUUCUUUGUAUCCAAGCUUCAAGUCAUAAAAAAAUGAUUAUGGAUCCUACACAUUGUGAUGUUUUGUGUGCCCAUAUCAAGAUGAGCUUUGUUGUUUUGCCAGGCAAAAUAGAAAAUGUUUCCAUAAGUGAUUCCUAGUCUCCAAACUCAAUGUUGUUAAAGAGGAUUUUUCUAAGUGUAUUUUGAAUACUUAAAAAAUAAAGCUACGAUGAUAUGAUGGGAAGAUGGUAUGAUGAUAUGAGGAUAAGAUGGUAUGAUGAUAGUAAAAAUUUCAUUUUGUUCAUCAGAAUUUAAAAAUAUUGAAAUGAUUUUAUUUUCAAAAACUUUAAGUACCUGCAGAAGACUACAAAUAUGCACUUGUAAUUUUAUACAAUUGAGAACAAAAAUAAAAUAGAAUUGUAUAGUUUUAAACUUAGACAAUACAUGACGUUUUCUUUUUUUACCAUGCAUCUAUGUACAGUUCAAUAUAUAUAGCCAAAGAAUCUUAUUUAAAGAAAUAUAUCAUUUACAAAAAAAAAAAUCAAUGGAUCAAACCUUUUGAGGCUUUGAAAAGUUUCAAAAACCAUUUAAAGUACCUGAUUGUCAUUACUUUCUGAUUUUUUUGCAUGAAAAACUUGUCUCAUGUUCAUUAACACUGACUAAUUUGAAUUCCUACAUUCCACCAUAAGCAAUUUAUCUAUAAAUAGUAGUUUAUGUUGUGACAAAAAUCCUACAAAAAUCAAUGUGAUGUGAACCUAUUGCAACAUCACGAAAACAGAAAUUAGAAAGUAUAAAUGAUUUAAGAUAUUCAAAUUGCAUUUCCUGUUUGUAAAUAAUUAUUACUAACUGUGCAUAUGAUUGCAGUUGAUUUUACUAAGAUGUUACAAAUAUAUAUAUAUAUAUAUAUAUAUUGUUUUCAAAUAUUCAACAUUAAAGUUUUAUAAACAAUACUACCAAAGUUUAAACUUGGGAAGAGAUGAAGAUUAAAUUAAAAAAAUGAAGCACAAGAUUGCUCAAGAGUAUCUAACCAUCUACACAAGCCAGGAUAAACAUUCCACACAACAAACAAAAAAUCCAAGAAGAAUAUGGAUGUCACAAACAUACAACAAGAUUCAUUUUAAAGAACUUUUAACAUCAUAUUAUACAUUUAUUUAUAGGAUUUUAUAUUACAUUGAUUUCUCUUAAUAUUUUUCAUUUAAUUUCCUCUUAAGUUUAGGUGUUUUAGUAAAAAUAAGUAAGAAAUUUAAAAAAGGAAUAAUAAAUAAUUAAUAAGGAACUUCGAUAAUGUCAAUGAUUGUUUUCGAAAUUAGCCAGGUACUUCUCGGUUCAAAAAUUUAUCACACAGUAUGUAUUUUAUAUCUUCCAAACCUCUCAAUUUUUUGUUGUUUUGUUGUUUUGUAUUUGCUCACAACACCAUUAAACAUGUCUGAAAUAUAGUAAUUUGAAGAUGAAAUAUAUCAAAUGUCUUGCAGUAGAAUUAUAACAACAUAUGUUGAAUUAUUGCACCACAUUAUUGAUGAAUUUUGGUGUGUGCAAUAAUUCAACAUUUUUUUUUAACAGUAUGUAGAAUUCUAAAAAAAUAAAAAAAUAAAAAAAAAUUAAAUUUAAAAUUUCAGCUAUUCUAUAUGGAAAAUGUAUAUUGAAAUGAAGACAUGAGCAUGUAAACAUUAAAAAUAUUGUGCACAGCCAACUUUGUGUGUAAAAUCCUACAAUACACAAUGUUUAUCACAUAUGUAUAAUUUACUAGUGGUGAGUAUGUGCUGAGAACACAUAAUAGUUAAAUAUAGAUCACACCAUGUCAAUGUAAUAAAUAAAUAAAAAAAUACAUUACAAAAAUAUGGUAUUGUAUGUGAAGCUUGCUUGCAUCCCAUACAGUUUAACUUCAACUACAUUUUUUUAUAUAAGGUAACAAAUGCCAUUGGUAAAUUCCUUUAAAUGCCCACUUGUUUUGAAUCUUGUUGUUUUUUAAGCAUCAUAUACAUCAAUUUAUUUUAUUUUAUUUUUUCGUUUCUAGAGGGGAAGUACAAUUGAAUGUUUUACAUGAUAAUGUAAAACUUUAGGCAAUUGAAUAAAUGAACUUUACAAUAUACAUAAUCUAAUUUCUACCAUGUCAUGUUUGUAACAAAAUAAAAAGUUCAAGUACUUUUGUGCUUUUUAAAAAAACUAAAUUGCACUCCGUGCAUAUUAUUCUUUCACAAAAAAGGCUCAUACCAACAAACCACAACAAUCUUUUUGGCAAAACCCAAAAAAGUCAAUCAAUGAAUAACUGCAUGUAUUGUUUUCAAAUGCACAAAAACUCUUACCUCCUAUUUAAAAACUGUAAACCACUACGACAAAACAAAAAGAAAAAAAAACAGAAAGAAAAAAAGACGAGCAUAGUCAACCUCAUUUAUCCUGUGUUCCUCCUAAUAGCUUUUCUCAUGCUCCUAAUAACUUUUUUAAUUUUUAUUUUCGAUUUUUGGUUUCUUUGCAUUUGGAUUUGUUUUUUGUUUGUUUGUUUGUUUGUUUGUUUUUUUUUUUUUUUUCCAUUGUUGGAUUUAAAUCUUCAUCCUAAGUCAACCUACCACAAGGGGUGGUGCACUAAAAAUUCCAAGUGCCACAUUGAAUUAUGCAACACAAAAUACCAAAAAAAAGUUUCAGUUAUCAUUGUUCCCCCCCCCCUUUCCCUUUCUAUGUAUAUUAUUUAUUAUUUAUUUACUAUUUAAAUCUUCACACUCCUCUUUGACUUUUUACAGCCUUGACUCAGGGCUCAGCAGCAGGGGAGGGGGGUUAUGUGGCAAAAUGCAUGGAGGGCUCUUCCUUUCCCAUGCCAUGCAGCAGCAAGCAAGCAAGCACAUCGCCCAUUCUAGUGCUUUCCUUCUUUGUCCUCAUCCCCCAGUUCCACACACCUUGCUAUUCAUCCCACACUGCAUGCACUUUUCCACACACCCCAAAACUACAGUCACUCCCACUUGGUUUCACCCUAUGUCAGUAAAAUUCUCAACUCUAGCUCACAGUACCCACACCACCCACAUUGCAACAAACCAGCAUACAAACUAACUAAUUUACGCAUUCUUGCAGUUUUGCAACACAAUGGAACAGCUCCACCACCCAUCACUAAAACACACACUCACUGAGCUAGCAAACCUGAUCGACAUCGCAGUGGUGAAUGUGCUGCAACCUUACAAGCUUGUCAGCAGCUGUGGGUCACUGGUGCUUGGGCAGUGGAGGUGUUGCAGUUGUAGUAGUGGGCGUGAAUGAGAGCUUUCAGUAGGUGUUUGAUAAUGCGAGGGUGGGUACUAGAUGCUCGAGGUGGAUUUGUAAGGGUGGCGCCACCGACAACAAAUAGCAAAAGGCAUCAGGCGCUGUAGCGAAACCAUCCACCACGUGCCUGCUGGGGUUUGCUGCGCUACAGGAUCCACACGGUGGAAUUUGUACCCUUUUAUCAUUUGGGUUUGAUCCUAUCCGUUACUCUGCCACAGCGUGCCUGACUUUGCCCUAGACGCAGCCAGCUGGAAUUAGAAAUGGGGAGAAUCGGAGUUUCCCAGUCUCCCCCACCUUUCGUGACUAAAUUUCGCGAUGCCAGUUUUGGUGCAGCGUUUCGUCCGGAUGCAGCAGAUUCGAAGAGAGGUGAUGCACCCAGGGAAGUGACGCGCGCCCACGGCGUCAGUGGGAGCCCAAAAAGACGGCAUGGGAAGCCGUGCAAGGAAGAUGCUCCGAACGACCUUGACUGCGGUGAUGAGAAACGGCGAAGCGUGCGACAGAGGGAUGAGAGUGGAGGGCCAGGGCGUGACAGGUCCCGGGUAUGGCAGCCUGCACCACAUCCCAUCCUGGCUGACUCACUCGCGCAGAUCUUUUUCUGGCUUUUUGUAUGUGUUUGUUUCCUCGUGGCGUCAUUGGAGUCUGAACCUUCCUCGCCAUGCCAUUCUUCUCCAUUGAAGCGCUACCCUCCUCGGUUGCUUCGACCCGGAGGCACGUCCUGAGAUGAGCGGCCCGGAUUCCUUUGGCCAGGGGUGCGAGCUUCGUCCGUGGCGUCUCUGUUUCGUGGCAGUUGUCAAGCUCCCCCGCCACAUCCCCACGUCCUCGCCAGGUUCUGGAGCUUUUCGUUUUCUGCAUCAAUUGCCAUCAUGAGCACAUCAUGGAAUUUAAUAAGGGAUCCAUUGGGUGGUUUAAUCUAGCCCUGUUGUUGCGCGUUGGGUUGUGCAACAAGUAAGGGUGAGGAUUAUCAAGGAGUGGUUGUGAAGAUCGUUGAUUUUCGGUACGUAGCUGCGGGAGGAAGGGAAGGAGAGAAUAAUCGUCGUAGGUAGGGUCGACUCAGCCUUCAUUCCUCACAAGUUGUCCCACUUCUGCAGUAUAAUCAUCCCUUACCUGCAAUGUGUGUAUCGACGUCGUGCUCAUGUACAACCUCGAUUUGAAACACUUGUAGUGAGUGUUUUUCUUCUCACGUUACUGCCGUUUUACGUUCUGCUUCUACUUUGUGGGUUUUACUGUCGCAGUGUUUCAUCUUUCGUUUGUUGGAGCUGCAAAAUGAUAACGGAUUGCGGGUGAGGACUGAUUUUUAAAAUAAUGCGUAUCUUUCGCAUUUAUUCAUAGGCUACUUGAGAAUUAGGGUUCUUCAGUGGAUUGCUUAUCUAGCUUGCUGGCAUUUUUAGGAUUGUUGGAGCUUUGCCUCAAGUCUGUGUUUGAAUCAUUGAGUUUCUGUGUUUUAAAAAAGUAAUCGUAAUUGAAAACAUCAGUCCGUCGUACAGAAUUUUGCAGAAUGAGCAAUUUGCGUACUUGUGUGCAGAGACUACAAAUAUGAAUUGUAAGUUUUCGACGUUGCGCGCUUAGCUCGAACGGAAGAUACAGUAAAUAAGUUGCAAACCAUUUAUUGCAAAGACAAGAUUGUAAGUUCAAUUUAGCCCAAAAUGUAUGAGAAUUUGUGUGUCGAAAUGAUACCUAGCCUGUGAUAUAUUUUGUGUUUCCCAUCUACGUACUUCGUUAGUAUGUAUGUCUUGACUGUAAUUUGUACAGUACUGCGUCCCUCUCUAUGUCACUGCUGAGUCUUUGAGCUCCAAAAUUAGGGUUACAUAAAAUUCUCACUCAAUUUUUCCUGGUUAUCUUUUACGAUAGCCAAAUCAAUGGGUUCUAUCCCUGAUAAACGGAUAUCUUAUCUGAAAUCAUUUCAUGGGGAAUCUCGUUGAGUAUUUCAGGACGACACAAAUUUUCUCUACUUUGUGGUGGUACACUAAGUUAGAUUCAGGACUUAUGAAUAAUGAAUUGGCUUUUGGAGGCUAUGUUGCUUAAGGGAUCUGAUUGAGCGUUGUCUUCUAUAGACCAUAUUAUUUGUCACUAGGAAUUGUCACUAUGUUCGCGGUCUAAAGCUUGUGUCCAGUGGCUUUGUCAAUACUCUGGAUGCUGAUAUUUAUCACCAUGUUAUUUCUGAAUAUUUUGGAGUCAUUUUGGUGGUAAUUGGGCAUGGAUUAUCAUCGAGGGUUAUUAGCUGGAAGUUCGAUACAAUAUGACUACAAAUCAUGUCUUAAUGAAUCAUAAGUUAUGCAGUUUAAUAUUUUGGCUCUUUGAUUGCCUUAGCAGGUGCAUCUGGAUUCAAACGGCAGCUGGAUUACUCAGCGUCGGAGAAACAAUUGAAAUUUGAUCAAAGUUCUUAGUAGUGUCAUAAUACAAUAAUACUUUCAUAUCAAGGACACUACUAACUGGUGUUUUUAGUGCCAAAUAACCAAAAGUAAAACACAGGUAAAUGCUCUGAAGUUGAAUGGUUGCAUUCAAUUUCUUUUUAAAUCUAAAAGACAAGAAAUAAUCAUGGAUUCCUGUAAAUAUUUAUUUAUUUCAAAUUGUAACAGUAUAAUCCCUAAAGGCUGACUCAAAAGUAGAGGUAGAUAAUUUUUUACAACAAUAGCAAAUAAAUUAGUUUGGUGGAUAAAAUAUUCUUAAAAUUAAAAUUCAAUUAUUAUUUUCAAGAAAGUUAAUUAUUUGGCUAUUUAUGUCCAACUUGAAGUAAUACAAAAUAGAGAAAGAAAUUAUGAUUCAAUUUCUCUUAAGUUUGGUUACAUUCGUAUAAGAAUACAAUUUUUGCUUGCAAAUAUCAUGUGUAUAAGAAGAUGCUCAACAUUUGAAUAUUUAUUUUUGAAGUUGAAUUUAUUUAUUUACUUAUUUAAAUGUACACAAAGAUUAGCCUCAAAAUGGAUUAACUCAAGUAAUACACAUUAGACAAUGACAUCUAUUAUUGUAUGGAAAAAAGCAAAAUAAUGCCGAAAAUGCAAAGAGAGGAAAUGUGACUUAUGAUAUGCUUUCAGUAGCAUAAAAAAUUGGACGAAUUUGUAUAUCUAAUACGAAUAUAAAACAAAUUUUGAUUAGAGUAACCUAAUAAGUGAUUAAAUAUUAAUUCAAAUUUUGUUUUUUAUAAUUUAUUUAACAACCUACUCCAAAUUCCAGUUAAGGUUUUCAAUGAUAACUUGUCAUAUUUAUUUAUUUAUACUUUAUUUAAGCUUCUUAUUGAUGAAUAUUACAAUUACUUUUGAAUGAUAUCAAGUUGAUAAGUUCAAUAACUUGUACGUGGGCUUCAUUAAAAGUAUAUGUUUAGAAAAAGUAGCCAUGAUGAUAUAUAUAUAUAUAUAUAUAUAUAUAGUGAAUGUAUGUUAGUGUUGUGAGGUUUGUCAAUAUCCAAACAUCCGUCUAAUUAUUUUGUUGCUGAUUUAUAUUCAAAAUUUUUUUUAUCCAAAAGUUGAUUAAUAUGUUAUGUUUGAGAAUUUUUUUUGUGGAUAGUUCAUUGCAAUGUUUGCAAAUCAAUCUUUAAGCAGAACACAUAUUGAUGAAAAUAGACUUAAACUUGCUUACGAAAACAUAAAGUAUAUUAAAUAGUUUACAAUUUCUAUGUUUCAUUUAUUAUCCUUAGAGAUUAUUGUCUUGUGCAUUGUUUUGUCUCUGUGGCAGUUUUUACAAUUAAAUUGAACCUUGUAGAAUAAUGUCGUAUUUAGAAGGAUUCUGCAAGUUGACAUCUCAAGUCUUUCGUGUUCCUCCUAUUAAGCGUGUGUUGCGAAUGUGAAUUCUUGAUUGGAGUUUGAAAGAUACAUCAAACUUCAGCCAUCGCAGCGCUUGGAUUUUUAGACACUUCCGUGACUUCUCCAUCAUGAAUCGCUCUUCGUGCAAAGCAAUGGCUCCACACGCUACUGAUAUAACUUAAAAGAAAUUUUCAGCAGAAUAAUGGGCCUUAUUACCGCGGUGUAAAAUUCUGGCCUAGUAGUCUGUUUUCUGUAUCUUUGAGAGCUUCAUGUUCAAGUGCUGUAUCUAAUAGGAGGUUUGUUCUAUUUAAUAAUUUGGUUGGCACGGCUACUCAAUACAAUUUGGAUAUGGAGUUGUACUCUUAGUCUCAAUUCCGUCUUGCAAAUCAGCUCAGUAGCAGUUGUUCAUUGAAAUACUUAAUCGAACUUGUGUAUCGAGUAUUGGUCAAUGUGAGUGUACGGCAUUUUAAAAUUAUUGAAAUCCUUUACAACUUAGAUUUGCCGUGGCUAAAUGGUUUAUCAGUUUUUUCGUUAAUUUUCCAUCUCUAAAUUAGCUCAUUUCGAAAAUGUCAAUUCCCAUUGAAGCUAACGUUUUGGACUUACAGUGUUUUUCGAAAGUAAAUCAAUGUGAUACGAUACUAGUUAAUAGAUUGUAGAUGAGAAUAUGGGUUAAACGAUUUUCAGGGCUGACUCUCGUUCAAUUAGGGAGAGCAUAGUGGUUCUAGUUUGGUUGCAUCAGCAGAAUGCACUCGGAGAACUUGACAAGUCCAAUAAAGGCAAGAGCAAAGGGAAGGGGAAACCCGAAUCAGGCACUGCUGGAUCAGUAGUGGCAGCUGAAGAAGUUCAGCCUUUGACAAGCGCGACAUGACUUCCUGAUUCGAUUCUAAAGAAAGCGACUGCUGUACCUGCUGCAGCAGAGCAACUUACGGUAGAGACAAAAGCAGAUGUUAAUGGGGUGUUGGCUGAGUCACUCGAGUUGAGAACUUCAGCAACUGUCUCCGAGAAAACUGGAGUUGUAAGUGGAUCAGAGAUAAUCUGAAGGAAUUGGAACUCGUGAUGCGAAUACCAAUGGAGAUGGCGAAGGAGAUGGUGAGUCUGCUACGUUGCCUACUUUUGAUUUAUCGAAGUUCUUGCAGUUGGGUUAGGAUUGCUCACUAGUGGCAGCUCAUGAUUGAUUGCCUCGUGCAUGGUUGUUCACGCCUUCUAAAGUAUUUGAACAGCCAGAAUGUUAAACAAAUUUGUUCACGUCCAGAAUGUUAUUUCAAAACGUUUCUGAUGGGGUUGCAUCUGAGAAACAGGUCCUGUAAAGAUGGAGCUAGUAGAGUUGGAAGGAGGUCUUGGAUUUAUGGAAGAUUCUUGCGGUCAAUUAAAUGCACUUGUUAGUCUUCCUGAAAUACCUGAGAAGCCGUGUGUGGAAACAAUUGCCUUCUCCUCGUUCAAUCCUGUUCCAGGAUAUCGGAGGUACUUUAAAUUUGUAUUGGCUUUUGCCUACUGCAUUUAGCUUGGAAUUUUAUUGUUCAAUUUGUAUGUUGCAAGUCGUAAGAUUAUGUUGCUUACCAAGUGGAACUUUGCGUUUAAUUUCUGCGGUACUCUGGGUGGACAGACUGCUUAGCGAUCUCAUUUACCUUGAUGUGACAACAGCUGAAGGCAAAAGUCACUGCGUGACUGCACACACACACACAAGGAUUUUAUGUCGACUCAAGCAAGGGGAAUACACUGAAUGCAGCACCUGCCACUCCAACUGUUGAAUCGGCUACGAUCGUUGGGCUGCUACGGUUAUUGAGUAAAAAGUUCGUUUCAAGUGAAUCGUAGUGCUUUCAUCAUACUUCUUUUAUGAUAAUUGUAAAUUCCUUUAGUGUAAGUAAGUGCUGGGUUACAAGAAGAGUUGUUUUUUCAGUGCACUGGUAUUUUGGUUCUUGAAGAACAUAGUCGUUCUUCUUUGAUGUUAAUUUUAUGUCUUCUUGAAAUGGAGAUUUUAUCUGACAAAUACAGUUACGAGCAGGAUUUGGUUCGAUAUUGGAUAAAAAGUCAUCUGGACAUCCCUUUGAGAAUGUUCCAAUGCUGUUACCACCUAAUGCUUGGCUUAGACCCCAUCCUACACCUCGUGAGUCAUCUGUAACCAUUUGGAUCUUUGAUGUCAUUGUAAAGUUUGGCCUAAGCUAGCCUUAAGGAUUUGUGGCUUGUUAUUGUGUGAAAUUUGUCUUUUGAUAUUUUUGGUUUUAUUUAACUUCAUUUGCAUGUUGUAUAAAAUACUUGGUUUUGGAUUCUCUAACCUCUUAGAGUUUUCUCAAGUAUACAUUUCAUAGUCAAUCAUGAGUUAAUGCCCUUACUUCAGAGUUACUUUGCUCAAGCGUCGCCUUCAAACUCUUCAUACUUUAGGUUAUGGUUGUAUUUCUGUAUUACAUUGGAGUUAUACUGUUGCUGAUCCGACGAUGUUGACUCGAGAAACUGCAGCCCACAAAAGAGACAUUGUUCGUGCUGAGGAUGCCUUAAUGGUGCCGUAUGGCACUGAGGUAGUAGGAAUGCAGAGAGAUUGGAAUGAAGAGCUUCAGUCCUGCAAGGAAUUUUCACGAGACAAUUUACAAGACAGGUGGGUGUGGAUAUCAAUUUAUAUAUAUAUAUAUAUAUAUAUAUAUAUGUAUAACCUCACUAGUGUGACCUUUCAUAUCUGUUGUUUUACUUCAUAUGUGUGAUGUUUUAAUCUGUAGGUUAUUCUAGACUUAUUAGGAUUAGCCCUAGUAUUUCUGUUGAGAAGAUAAGCCAUACCUCCCCUUUGAAACUGCUAUUUGAGAUAAUUAAACCGAGUGCUAUUGUUAUUUCAGAAUUACGAGGGAUAGGGCUCUUUUUAAGGUUAACUGUGACUUUUUGGAAGCUGCGACCAAAGGAGCCAAAGCUGUAAUAAAUCGGUGUAUUCCACCCAUCAAUCCAACAGACCCUGAUCGCUUUCACAUGUAAGUAUGAUUAAAACUUAUCAAUAUAGAUUCUGUUUAUAAGCCUCUUAUACCAAUGGACUUACUUGGAGGUUUUUUUCAGUAGAAACUUAUGUUACAAUGUAUAUUGUACUUAUUGUCAUUUGAAUGUAUUUAAACUGAAAAUGGAUUUUUUCAGAAUAUUGAUCUAUUUUAAGUGACUUUUAGCACAUGCAUGUCAACAUUUUGGUUAUGAGGAGGCAUUUUUACUUGCAGGUAUGUGCACAACAAUAUCUUCUUCAGCUUUGCCGUUGACAGACUUUUUUCUUAUGCAGCAAAUGAGAGAGCAUAAUGUUCAUACAGAAGGUACCGCAGCAGAGAAAGGAAUGAUCUCAAAUGGAGAUCCCCCGUCAGAUCACAUUGAAAAUAAUGAGGGUGAUACAUCCUUAAACACAGAUGCAAGUGUUGGUGCUGUAUCUCUUGAAAGCGAGCAAGUGACGUAUGUAUUUGCAAACAAUGAUGUAAAGGGGACAAAAGCUUACAACAACGCAAAUGUGACUGGCCUAUAUACUCUUGCUAUGGCUAUCAUUGAAUAUAGAGGUCAUAGAUUAGUUGCGCAGGUUGGUGUCUAAUCCUGCCAAACUUUUUAUAUGGCAAUUUGUUUAGAAGACUUUGAACCAUAUGCUUUAGGGAGCAAAAACUUAGUGCAACAAUGUUUCACAAUAGUCAAGGACUAUACAUCAAUGCAUGGUUUAAGAAUAGUGUGUUGGUGAGUUGCAGAUUAUCAUUCCUGGCGUCUAGCAAGGUGACAAGACGGAGUCGUUACUGUAUGGAUCUGUUGACAACGGAAAAAAGAUCGCAUGGAACGAAAAUUUCAUGCUAAUGUCAGCACUUAAAGCAAUCCCUGAAGCUCAGUUUUUACUGAAAUCGGUAUGCUUGGUUGCUUGUGUUGUGUUUUUAAGUAUAUAACCUUUGAGAACUGGCGCGACGCGUACAUUAAAAUAUUUAUUUCAGGCGCUGGAAGCAAGGAAGCUACUAAAUAUUAAGGAGUAUACAGUGCUGGACGGAGUUAGGAAGUCUGUGACUCUGUGUGCUCCUAUGGAAUGCAAGGGUAUUGUUGGUAGUGAUGACAAGUAUGUGGUGCUUGUAUACUCUAUUUUCAGGACUGAAGAAAUAAACUAGUCAUGAAAUAAUUUGUGCUUGAUACAACUUCUUUAAGCUAAAUCAUUUAGGGUUCCUUGCUAUGAAUUGGUAUUGCAGGCAUUACCUUCUUGAUCUAAUGAGGAUGACACCAAGAGACAUCAACUACACAGGUCCUGGAUCUCGACUUUGUGUACUUAGACCUGAAAUUACCUUAAAGAUUCAGUGUUGCCAAGGCUGGCUGCGGACUUGAGUAGCCUAGAAGUGUGUCCUAUGGAUGGUCCUACUUUAACCGAUGCCAUGAGCAUCAAUAUCCGUUACCUUGGUCAAGUAAGAAGCUUUAUUAGAAUUUACAGUGUUUUGACAUGUAUUCUUUUCUUAGCGAUUUUUCUCUACUUCUGCAUCUAGUACAUUACAAUCAUAAAAUAAAUAAUAAAAUAAAUAAUUGAUUCACUUGCAGCUAGGAAUUGAGACUGUGGACCUGUGGUAUUUGAAGGCCAAUGGUACAAGGAGUGUAUGGCAGUAGACUGACUAGGUGGUUGGGUGAUUUUCAGGUAGCAAAAAUGGUAGAGCACUUGCCUCACAUUUGGGGUCUAACUGUUGUGGAGAUGGUUGUUCGGGCUACUAAACAUGUCCUCAAGGUAUAUUAAAAAAGAACAUGUUUCAGAUUCAGUCAAAAUUCUCUGAACUAUUCUCCGUGUUCAGAAUUUUUUACCUGUUUUUAUCUGGAUCUAUCGCAGUCGCAGUGCACGAAAAUAGUUCACUUGUUUUCGGUAGUAGCCACACCCUGAUUGAUAGUCUAUCUCCUACUGCAGGGGGUAUUACGAGAAAUCCUUGAUCAGGAUGGUGGAGCGAUUGCCCACUUCUUCAAUUGUUUAGUUGGAUCGGGAUCUGCAAAUUCAGUUGUGGAAGAGAGCACUGGCUCAACCGAAAAAUCUCAAUCAAAGUCUACUUCUGUAAGUCCCUAUUUCUUAGAUGCAGUUUCAUUUUGCAUGUCAGGAUUGAGUAUACUGUGCGUACAUAGCAUCAAAUAAUGUAGACAUUCUAGAUUUUCUGUUUACAUAUAUAUUUUUUGUCUGUGUUGUUGUAAUUUCUUAGUUACCUUGUAACGGAGGGUUGUUUUAACUAUUUGUUUGGUUGAAAUCAGGGCAAGACCUCAUCGACACAGUCAGCUUUAUCCGAGAUUAAACCAUCGUACUUGUGUAUAACACCAGAUCUUGUCUGGUCUCAUAUCGAGGAGAGUGUUAAGUUUGAAUACUUGAUACUUCAAAUUCCAACCUUAUGUUUGUGUUUUUGGAUGCCGGUUCAUAUGGAGAAGAUUUUAAGUUUUGCACUGUCUAAUUAGCUGAGAAUAGGGGUUUGAUGUUUGAUUGAAAUCUUUGUAUGUGUAACUAAUUGGACUUGUUUUGCACUUCGAGGAGGUUUUGAGUGACACGCUUUCGUCUUAUCUUUAUUCAGGUUCUGGUGUUUGGUUAACAGUGGCAUGUUGGAUUGUUGAAGUAGGCUUCUCAACUACUUUUAUCUUAAUAUUUUUCAAGCCACUUGUAGUUGCAGUUUGAUUUACCAAGCGAUGUAAGAUCAAGAGUUUGCAAUAUAUCCACUUCUGAAGACUUGGAUCUACAGUCAGUGGUGAAGCAUUUGUCACAUGUCUGUGCAGACGCUCGCGACCUUUUAGAAAGAUGGAAGCUGCUCUUGGCACAAACGAGUUCCAAUAGUCUCUGAAUAUUUCAAUUUGACUUCCUUAAAUCUGACUUCAAGUUUUAGUCAAAAACUGUUAGUGCGUCUGGAGCGGGUAUCUUUUUGAUCUUUUCUAUGCAAAACUUAGAGUGUAUCCCACUCCCAACCUCAACCUUUGUCUCAAUUCAAUUUAUUUUGAACGUUCCGAAUUAGCAAAAGGAUAUCCUAGAAAGGUAGAAAGUCGACUAAUAUGUACGCGGCUGAUAUGGUGUAGGGCAAGCUGAAUGAAGCUUAUGAAGCAUUUUCUGAAGCAUUCACUAUCUUAUAACAGGUCAAAUUUUGGGUACUCAUAAUGCACGAGAUGUUUUUUUAUGUGGAUUAAGUAUGUUGUCGGUCCUUAAGAAUCUGAUAAGGUUUUGUACAUGUUGAAAUACUGUCUCAUGGAGAUCUGUGCGCAUCUGAAGUAAUGGUAUGCCACUGAAAUUACGAAUGUGGUAUCAACAGGUUUGUGGACCAAUGCACAGAGAAGUUGUUAACUGCUCCUGUAAUAUAUACUAACACUAGUUUCUCUUCCAGAUAUUUAGCAAUGGUUUUAUACCAUGCUGGGGGCAUGGCAGGGGCCACAAUGCAACAACAGAAGGAGUUAAUCAUUAACGAGCGAUGUCUUGGAAUUGAUCAUCCAGACACUGUGCAUAGGUGCCCUUAAUGCCUUGUCGUGUGUUGCAGUUUUAUCAGAAACAUGUCAGCUGUUUCUGUAUUAGAUUUAUUUGGGCUGAUCUGUCAUGCUAAGGAUUAAUUUGGUGAACUUGUUUAAUGGUGUAUUGAAGUUUCUUGUAUUUUGUAAGAUAUUCUGGUAGUGAGUUUGUAAGAUUUAUUUUUAUUUUUUAUUUUUUAUUUUUUGGCACAAAUAGAGUCAUUGCACUAUUGCAGGUAAGUAGAAGGUACAUACCUCCAACCAGGUCCGAUCAAGUACUUUAGUUUACAUACAUUAGCUAGUUACUACAUUGCUCCUAGGCCACGAUAAUUUCCACUCAUCCUAUAUGCGAACACAUAGUGAAUCCACAAUGGUGUGAAUUGUGCAAGUCUAAUUCCUUGGUUGUUACCACCCUGCGUGACAUCUCGUAGUCUGUGCCUGUCCCCACCACUGCCUCCCUGACCUCUACUCGUUCGUUGUUCGACCUCUAAAGUGAAGAGAUGAAGAAGGUGAGUACCCACCCCCACGCUCGGGCUGCAGAGUUAGACUCCUAGAAUCGAUGAAGCAUUGUUUUGCAAAUUCCUUCCAGGCAGAUAGGAUUACACUGGUCGAUGUCUUUAUUUAUUCACCUUCUCCAAGCGUUCACUGCAAUCUAUCUGUGCCAGGUUAACCAUAUGAGCCCUGCCUCUUUUCUGGCUCUCCCUGCAUCCCACACGUUAGCCCACUUUAGUUUAAAACCUUGUAGAAGAAUGCUGCUUCACUUGUGCGAUACCACAUUCGGGAUCAGAUGUCGUUUUUUGAGCAAAGCUGAAUCCAACUGUGCAUUAUAUUGCAUAAAUGGAAUUCGGCCAAUCCAUUGAUACUGUCCUGGAUCCCAUACCAGACGGUCAAUUCUGUCAUAAUACAAGUAAAUUGUCUAAUUUUGUCCUCUUGUUAUUGGGAUAAUUUGUAUCCUCUUCGAACUGCCUGCUAUAUAGGUUCAACUGCUGACUCCGUUUGCUGUCACCCGGUGCAGUGCGUAUCUCCAUCCUUGUUUGAGCUCGAACAAGGUGGGAGUUCCCCCACCUAGCUAGAUGGGAUCCAAAACCCCGUUGAGGAUAGAUUGAUAAGGUAUGUGGUGGAAUUCUGCCAGACCACCAGGGGGGUCCUUGUAUCUUCAUCCGUGAAAAUGCCAUCCCAUUUGUCUUCUUUCUGCCACUGGGAAGAGGUGGGGAGGAGUGUCUCUCUUUCUUGAGCUAACUUAUUAGCUAUUGUUGACCAGACUCCCUCUUCUUGAGACUCUAGCCUGAAGAGCUCCACUUAGAUCCAUGAAGCUUAAAAAAUUGCCAUUCUCCCAUAAGUCUCUGUAGUUUUGCAGGCUGUUUUUAUAUAACUUAGGCUGUUUUUAUGUAACUUUGAUGCUUUUUUCUCUGAAAUUCUAGGACCAAUGUUGAUAAUUUCUUGGUCAUGCCAAAUACUACAAUUAAUCCACUUCUCAUGACACAUUGGAAGAAGAUAUGACACUUUUGGAAAGUCCUUCCAUGUUGCCUCUAUCCUAUUCCAUAUCUUUGACACCUCCUUACUUUUGUACUUUUUCAUAGUGAAGAAUUCAAGGCUUGAUUGCCAUCUUCUUUGUGCAUAUGGUUGGAAUUGACUAAGGUGAUAUCUUAGCAUCAUGUGUAGAUUUGACUUUAAUGGUUCCGUUGCUUUAACAAUCCAUUUAAUUAAUAAUAUUGCCAUUGCAUUUGCCAAGUUGAUGAAGUAAAUACCUCAUGCUACUUUAGUUUGAGCCCUAUGUAUAGUACAUCCUACAAGGUAGUUACUUCGAAAGGCCUUUAUGUGUGAUAAGCUUUUUUUGGUGCCUUUCUAUAAGAAAAUAAAGUAGAAUAUUAUUAUUAAUAGGAUAUUGUUUAAAAUAACACGACUUUUAGUAGUAUUAAUCAUUGUUGAAUACCAAUGGCUUAGUUUCUUAUUGAUUUUUAUUUUUAAGAAAGAGUCAAAAUAUUUUGAAAUCAGACAUUCCAAAUGGUACUCCCAAUAAUUUACUUACAUCAUUUUUGUCCAUCCAAAUAAUGUCUAGUUCAUUGAUCCAACUUCGUUGGAUAAGGGAGUGGUCAUUCUUCCAAUAGAAACUUAAUUUGUUCCAAUUCAAGACUAGGCCCAAGUCCAAACAAAAUAUUUUAAGAAUAUAAAUUAUUUGCUUUAUAUUUUCUUCUUCUUUCUUUAAGGUUAGAGAUGUAUCAUCUACAUAUUGCACCAUUAUAUAUUGUCUAUAUUCCAUAGGUAAUUGUAUUCCUUUUAUUAUUUCUAUCCUAGUUUCUUUCAUGAAUAUUGUAUUGAAGACUUUAGCUACUACAAGAAAUAAAUAGGAAGCUAGUGGAUAAUCUUGUCUUAUAUAUCUUUCUAUUAUGAAUAAUUUGGAAGGAGUCUCAUUGAUUUUUACACACAUCUUUGCAUUAAUGAAUAACAAUUUAACCAUAUAAAUGAAAUCUUUUGGUAGUCCUAAUGCCUUUAUUAUGUAGAAAAAAAAAAUCUACUCAAUAAUAUCAUAAGCUUUGGAAAAACCAAGUUUAAAAAAAAUAAAUCAUUGUUCUGAUUUCUUAGCCUAUGCCAUAAUGUCAUAGGUUAAUAUAAAAUUAUCUAAAAUAUAUUGAUUUGAUGACAAGGCAAAUUAAUCCAUACUAAUGAUAUUUAUAAAUAUCAAUAGAAGUCUUAAUUGCAUAGCCAUUGCAUAAAUCUUAUACUCUAUAUUGAGUAAAGUAAUUGGUUUCCAAUUUGAUAGAUCAUAUCCUAUGCUUUCUUUAUACAACAAAGCUAUAAGGCCUUAGAUUACUUCCAAUGGAAGGCAUUCAUUUUUAAUACUUUCUUAUAACAUGAUUAGAUAUUUUGGCUAUAAGAUAUUCCAAAAAGAUAUAUAGAAUUCAAGAAUAAUUCUAUCUAGCUCAAGAAUUUUUUUUUUUCCUUCAUCUCUUUUAGUAUUUUCAUGAUUUCUACUAAAAGAAGGCUUUCAAACACUUGUCUCUCCACUUUCUACUAUUUUAGGUAAGCAUGCAACACCUGCUCCAUUGUCUUCUUCUCUUUAGACUAUUAUAAGAUGUUAAUUAUGUUGACAAGCUUUAUUUAUCAAGUAGCAUCUCUUGAAUCUUCUUAUAAUUCAAUGAUAGCCUUGAUGAGAUGGUCUUACAUUCCUUCCUCCUCAUGAGACUUCUCUGAUUAUUUAUUGAUAUAAUAUAACUUGUAAAAUUUAACACAACAACAAAGCUUGCCAAAAAACAAAAAAAAAAAAAAGAAAAAAAAAGAA